GAUGAACGCUGGCGGCGUGCCUAAUACAUGCAAGUCGAGCGAACAGAUGAGGAGCUUGCUCCUCUGACGUUAGCGGCGGACGGGUGAGUAACACGUGGAUAACCUACCUAUAAGACUGGGAUAACUUCGGGAAACCGGAGCUAAUACCGGAUAAUAUAUUGAACCGUAUGGUUCAAUAGUGAAAGACGGUUUUGCUGUCACUUAUAGAUGGAUCCGCGCCGCAUUAGCUAGUUGGUAAGGUAACGGCUUACCAAGGCAACGAUGCGUAGCCGACCUGAGAGGGUGAUCGGCCACACUGGAACUGAGACACGGUCCAGACUCCUACGGGAGGCAGCAGUAGGGAAUCUUCCGCAAUGGGCGAAAGCCUGACGGAGCAACGCCGCGUGAGUGAUGAAGGUCUUCGGAUCGUAAAACUCUGUUAUGAGGGAAGAACAAAUGUGUAAGUAACUAUGCACGUCUUGACGGUACCUAAUCAGAAAGCCACGGCUAACUACGUG
rnacentral:rRNA from 1 species